ACGACUCUCGGCAACGGAUAUCUCGGCUCUCGCAUCGAUGAAGAACGUAGCGAAAUGCGAUACCUGGUGUGAAUUGCAGAAUCCCGCGAACCAUCGAGUCUUUGAACGCAAGUUGCGCCCGAGGCCACUCGGUCGAGGGCACGCCUGCCUGGGCGUCACGC
rnacentral:rRNA from 6 species